rnacentral:lncRNA from 1 species
GAGACAGCAGAUUUUUAAAAAGUGGUUUAGUUACAACUCCAAAGUAAGUAACCUCUUACUGAAAUUGUAACUGACUGUCAAAAUGAUACUGACUGUUGAAGAUUAAAAUGUGAAAACAUUAAACGAUUUUUUUCUGUUGUGAUUGUGUCUGUAUAUAUAUGUACAUAUAACAUUCUAACUGAAAAUGAGUUUAAGCAACCGUUGUCUUCAUAUAGGACCUCACCUCUAAACACAUAUAUUUUGCAACCUGCUAGUUCAAUUUUGAAUUUCAUUUGACCAAAAAUAGACACCUGUGUAAAUGUAAGCAAACUUACUUAAAAUUUGAAUUAAUACAUGUCAG